GUACUGAACACAGAUUAAUAAGAGAAUAAUUGAAGAUUGAUAGAUAGUUGAAGAUACAUAUUUAUUUUCCAAGUUAUUGUUGAUUUUACCACAGAAAAUGCAGGGUUUUCCGUGAUAUCUUAAAACAAUCAAUGAUAUGAUCUUAAAAAAUACUAUGAUCUUAAAAAAUAACUUUAAGAUGCAGACAAACUUUAUCAUUGCAAAAAGAAUAGAAGAGAAAAAAAAAAAACGAUCAAAAUUCCACAAAACAUUGCUUAGAAACUAAGAUUCUAAAAACCCAAACCGCAACAAAAACUUUGGUACUACAGGAGAACAAAUAUGAUCUUUUCCACAAGUAACACCCGUCCGUAAAAACCCGUAGGAAUAUAUGUCGCAUUCGAUGAUAUUAUUAUGGAAGUAAAAACUUUGACUCAUUAACCUGUUAUCAAAACC
rnacentral:lncRNA from 1 species